rnacentral:rRNA from 1 species
GGGCUGCGGCCUAUCAGCUAGUUGGUGAGGUAACGGCUCACCAAGGCAUCGACGGGUAGCUGGUCUGAGAGGACGAUCAGCCACACUGGAACUGAGACACGGUCCAGACUCCUACGGGAGGCAGCAGUAGGGAAUCUUGCGCAAUGGGCGAAAGCCUGACGCAGCAAUGCCGCGUGCGGGACGAAGGCCCUAGGGUCGUAAACCGCUUUCAGUAGGGACGAAAAUGACGGUACCUGCAGAAGAAGCUCCGGCCAAAUACGUGCCAGCAGCCGCGGUGAUACGUAGGGAGCAAGCGUUGUCCGGAAUUACUGGGGGUAAAGGGCUUGUAGGUGGUUGAGUAAGUUAGAUGUGAAAUCUCAGGGCCCAACCCUGAGCGUGCAUUUGAUAAUGCUCUGACUAGAGUCCGGUAGGGGAGUCCGGAAUUCCUGGUGUAGCGGUGAAAUGCGCAGAUAUCAGGAGGAACACCGACAGCGAAGGCAGCGACUCUGG